AAGUAGAGUUUGAUCCUAGCUCAGGAUGAACGCUGGCGGCGUGGAUAAGGCAUGCAAGUCGAACGGACUUUAUUUUUCCGAUGAUGAGAUUACAUCAAGUCAAAGGUCGUUUAAAGUUAGUGGCGAACGAGGUAGUAAUACAUAGGAACUUCCCCCUAAGUCGUGAACAACUCACCGAAAGGUGAGCUAAUACACGAUAGUCUCUCCGGAGUAAAGUUUUUCGCUUAGGGAAAGGCCUGUGAAGUAUCAGCUAGUUGGCGGUGUAAAGGACCACCAAGGCUAUGACGCUUAGGGGAGCUGAGAGGCUGACCCCCACCGAUGGGACUGAGACACGGCCCAUACACCUACGGGUGGCUGCAGUCGAGAAUCUUCCGCAAUGGACGAAAGUCUGACGGAGCGACGCCGCGUGAUUGAUGAAGCUCUUCGGAGUGUAAAGAUCUUUUAUGAGGGAAGAAGUUUAUUGACGGUACCUCAUGAAUAAGGGGCUCCUAAUCUCGUGCCAGCAGGAGCGGUAAUACGAGAGCCCCGAGCGUUAUCCGGAAUUAUUGGGCGUAAAGGGUGCGUAGGUGGCACUGUUAGUCGUUUGUCAAAUCCUUGGGCUUAACCUAAGAACCGCGAACGAAACGGCAGAGCUAGAGAGUGUGAGGGGUAUAGGGAACUAAUAGUGUAGGGGUGAAAUCCGUUGAUAUUAUUGGGAACACCAAAAGCGAAGGCACUAUACUGGCACAUAUCUGACACUCAAGCACGAAAGCGUGGGUAGCGAAUGGGAUUAGAUACCCCAGUAGUCCACGCCCUAAACGAUGAUCUCUAGUCUUUCGGAGUAUCGACCCUCUGAGAGACGUAGCUAACGCGUUAAGAGAUCCGCCUGGGAAAUACGGCCGCAAGGCUAAAACUCAAAGGAAUAGACGGGGACUUGCACAAGUAGUGGAUUAUGUGGUUUAAUUCGACGAUAAACGAAGAACCUUACCAAGGUUAGAAAUCAACGUGAAAGCCCUGAGAAACCAGGGCCCUCGCAAGACUAGUUGACAGGUGAUGCAUGGCCGUCGUCAGUUCGUGGUUUGAAUUGUUCCCUUAAGUGGGGUAACGAACGCAACCCUCGUCGUGUGUUAUAAGUGUCACACGAGACUGCCCCGACCCAAGCGGAUAAAAGGGAGGAAGGGGAGGAUGACGCCAGGUCAGCAUGUCCCUUGAUACCUUGGGCUACACACAUAAUACAAUCGCAAUUACAACGGGCAGCGACGGGGUAACCCUGAGCGAAUCCUAUAAAAAUUGCGCCAGUUCGGAUUGGGGGCUGCAACUCGACCCCAUGAAGUUGGAAUUACUAGUAAUCGCGGGUCAGACAUACCGCGGUGAAUACGUUCUCAAGUCUUGUACUCACCGCCCGUCAAUUCAAGGGAGCCGGGAAUACUCGAAAUCUCUCCAGAAGGAGGGCCUACAGUAAGCUCGGUGACAGGGAAUAAGUCGUAACAAGGCACGGGUAGCGGAAGCUGUUCGUGGAAUAA
rnacentral:rRNA from 3 species